rnacentral:lncRNA from 1 species
CACGUCCAGAAGCCGGCGAUGUGGGGGCAACUGAGGCAGGGGCCACGGCCCAGCCAGUCGAGCAGAACUGGAAGGAUCACAGCCCAGCCCCGGCUCGGAAUGGCCCCUCGGCAACCACCCUGAGUUACCGACAAAAUGCCGACGGACUGUUUCAAACUUGUAUUCUCUUAAGCACGUUGGGAGAGUAUGUUUCUGUGGUUUAGAACGCUUACUAUCAAAAGAGCAUUUUGAACAUAAUUUUGUCCCUUAAAGAGGUAAGCUUCAAUUACUUGAGAACUUCAUGGAAGCCUCGCAUUUUGCAGCAAUGCCGGGUCCGUGCGUACCAUCGUCUGUCCUGGUUGUGUCUCUGUGUUCUCCAUGUGAGAGGGCGGGGAGGGCCGACCAGGGCUGUUGAGGCUCAGGUUCCUCGCGAACUCUGCAGGGACUCCUGGGCACGCCACUCCCCUUUUGCCCCCCAUGGCAUUUAUCUGUAAAGUAAGAGUUCUGCUGGGUUAAAUGGCGCCACCUCCAAAAGAUAUGUCCAACAGGAACAUCAGAGUGUGCCCCUAGUUGGCCCAAGGGCCAUGUCAUUAAGAUAAGAAUCUCGAGAUAAGAUCAUUCUGGUUUAGGGUAAGCCCUAAACCCAAUGCCAGGAGUCCUUAGAAGAGAAGAGAAGGGGAGAAGACACAGAGCCACGGGGAAGGAGGCCACGUGGAGACAGAGGCAGAGGUUAGAGUGAUGCAUCCAGCAGCCAGGCUUCCCCGCACCUGCCAGGAGCUGCAGAGAGCCCCGGAGAGAUUCCCACUCACAGCCGCAGAAGAAACCAGCCCUGCCGCCGUGAUGUAGGACUUCCGGCCUCCAGAACUGUGGGAGGACACAUUUCUGUUGUUUGAAGCCACCCAGUUUGGGGUCAUUUUUUAUGACACCCCUAGGAAACUAAUUCAGGAGGUUAAACUAAAUCAUUUCGAAGCCUCCUCAGAAAUCUCCAGGCUAUGGUUAGGAAGCGGGGUCCUGAAUGUGGAAUCCCUCUGAAGAACACAGCACACAUAUUCCCGUCUCCAUCGUCUCCCUUCUCUCUGGAAUCCGGGCCGGCCGAGAGGAAGCUGCCCUUCCCAGGCUGCUGCACCAGAGGACUGGGGGCCUGCCAGUGAAGCUUACAAGAGAAAUGGCUGUAGGAUGCAAAGAUAGUUAGCCUGGGAAAGAGGAGACGUCCAGGGCCGUGUCAACUCGGUGGCCCCUGACAACGACUGGUCUGAU